rfam:Ciona savignyi cont_31471, whole genome shotgun sequence.
UCCUCGUUAGUAUAGUGGUGAGUAUCCCCGCCUGUCAAGCGGGAGACCGGGGUUCGAUUCCCCGACGGGGAG